AAUUUAUUUACAGGCAGCAGCUGUUAAUCCAAUUAGCUGAACGCGCUGCCGCUUUAUGUUGCUGGGGACACCGACUACGCUAUAUCCUUCCAACUACAUAAGCACAUGUAUUUAUAUACUCCUGGCUGCCACAUCAAUCGAUUGCCAUCUGGACUAAGGACUACGACACCAGUUAUCAGCGCCAAUAGGCAGCGGCAACGAUAGCUGCACGUCCUGCAAAGGAUGUUGAAAUAAUUGUUAUUAUGUUUUACAACGGAAUGGGAUUGAUGCUGCAUCCUUCCGCACUCGACCAUGCAGCAUAUUAGCCGAAGCCUGCCAAGCGUUGGAAGCUGCCAUCAAGUCCUCACCGCUGAGUGAGAUCGCAUGAAAAGCAACGAACGCAUAGAAGUUGAUCCUGCAGACUGAUGAGCUGCAGUAGUUAUCUGUAUUGGAGAUGGAGGACAUCAUGAGCUGCUUGUCCUGCUUAAAGCGA